ensembl:lncRNA
CUUUUGGAUUGAAAAAAAUAUUUCUUUGAAUAUUAUUUAUGUGACAACAUAUUAUCCCACUGGUUCCCUCAAAAUAACAUUUUGAUUUCUUCCCCCGGAAUUGAGAAAACCAGAUAAGAUCAGUUUCUGUUUCCAUUAUUUUAUGUCAUUAUAUUGGUAAGUAUUGUCUUUUUUAUGUGGCAAACACAGAUUUCAGCCUUCACUUAUUUCAUUGCAUAAUUUUUCUAAUAUUUUGUUUUAAUAUUCUUUUGAACAUUUUUCUAUAUUGUCUUUAGUGGUUGAAUAUUUUUUAAAUAUUCUCCUGAACAUGUUUCAGAAUAUUUCUCUGAAUAUCCAGCAUCUUCUGCUGAAUUCAAACAAGCUGUUAUUGACUCACUGUCAUAGUUGGUAAAGUCUUCUGAUGUCUAACUGAAGAUCACGGAGCGAUGGUCCACCAGAGGAGAUGCUUGUAACUGUCGCCGUGUGGCUCCUGUGAGAACGUCUCUGCAGAAACCACACAGCAUCUGCUGCAGGAGAGGAAGUGGUGACGGGCUGUGAGCAGCUCGUCAUGAGAGCUAAUAACCACAGAGAACGUCUGCCACGCUCACCAGCUCCUCUUCCUCUCCUCUCUUCCUCUCUGGAGGCCUUUUGUGCACCCAGAGACCUCCGCUGACGACCCACCUGGAGGUCUCGUCGUGAACUUCACCGUGUGGACGAGACCCAGAAUCCUCUGAUGAAGCUUCUGGUCGGAGGUCCGUGGUCCAGGAAAUAGAUCCUCCUUCAGGAUGAUGGUGUUCAACUUGUGAAGAUCAGCAGAUGUUUGCUGAUCAGAGGGACAAACUGAUGGGAGGAGAUGAGGAGAGAAGUCCUACAUGUGAGCCGUGUUCCUGAGGACCAUCACCAGAGAGACUCCACAGCAGAACACCAGGCUCUUCACUAUCAGCACGACGUACAGCCGGCACAGCAGCUUCACCUGGUACGGAGACGGGCCCGGAGCUGACGGAGGAGCUGCCGGAGGAGCUGACGGAGGAGCUGAUGGAGGAGCUGACGGAGGAGCUGAUGGAGGAACUCUGUCCUCUGAAACAGAAAAGCAGGGACUGGUUGUGAGUGAGGAGCAUCAGGAGGAGCCUCCUCUGCUCCUCUGCUGUCUUUACAGCAGCGUCUCCACGUGAAGAUGAAGAUGAUGACCUCUGGUCACCUUGUUCGCUCGGGGCCUCCACCCUUCCCCCCUCGUGGUGGACGUAGCAGCGGUAUCGAUA